UUGCUGCUGUUCCAGUGGCUCCUCCUUUGCUUUCAAACACACGUGCAUCUUCUCACCUUCAGAAGGGGUUCUGCUAAGCCACAGCUAACUCAGCAGCCAGCUCUCAAUUCCUUUUCAUUGUGAAAUGAAAUAAUGAGAGUUCUAUACCCAUUGUGUCCAUUGCCUUAUCAACUGAUCCUUCUUUAGCUGCCUGCAAUCUGCUGAUAUUGCCCAAGAUCACAAAUUGCCUAAUGGACUUUCUUCUGGCGGGCAGGCAGGCAAGCACUCGUUCACUUUGGUCUCUCUCCCACAGACGGCGCUCUGGAUCUCCCUCUGGGGUGACGAGAAGAGCACGGGAUUUGAGUAAAGACAAAUAUGAGAAAAUCAGCCUUCACCCAUGUGCUUCCCAGCUAAAAUGUCUUCCACUGAGUUCCCUAGCAAAACCGAAACCGAAAACAAACAUGGAAGUCCAGAUCAAGUCCUGCCUUUUGCAGGAAGCUUCUUCGAUCACUCCACUACCGUGGCCCCUAUCACCAUUCAUUAAGCACAGCAAAAGCUCUUUGACGAUAA